rnacentral:rRNA from 1 species
AACGUAGGUACCGAGCGUUAUCCGGAUUCACUGGGCGUAAAGCGCGUGCAGGUGGUAUGGUAAGUCGGGCAUGAAAACUCUUGGCUCAACUGAGAGACGCUGUCCGAUACUGCCGAACUUGAGGGUGUAAGAGGGAGGUGGAAUUCCGCAUGUAGUGGUGAAAUGCGUAGAUAUGCGGAGGAACACCAGUGGCGAAGGCGGCUCACUGGCCCGGUACUGACGCUGAGGUGCGAAAGCGUGGGGAGCAAACAGG